GAUGAAUGUUGGCGGUGUGCCUGAGAUAUGCAAGUCGAACGUCUUUUCUCCGCAAGGGGAAAGGUAGUGGCGGACGGCUGAGUAACACAUAGGGACUUACCCCUUUUUGAAGGAUAGCCCAUCGAAAGGUGGGAUAAUACUUCAUGGUAUGGAUACCGUAAGGUAUUUGUUAAAGAGAUUAACUUCUCGAAAAGGGAUGGACCUGUGGCUUAUCAGAUAGUUGGUGGGGUAACGGCCUACCAAGUCUACGACGAGUAGCUGGCCUGAGAAGGUGGUCAGCCAGAGGGGGGACUGAGACACGGCCCCCACUCCUACGGGUGGCAG
rnacentral:rRNA from 1 species